rnacentral:pre_miRNA from 1 species
CAGAUACUCCCUCCGUCCCAAAAUUCUUGUCUUAGAUUUGUCUACAUACGGAUGUAUCUAUUCACAUUUUAGUGUUAGAUACAUCCGUAUCUAGAUAAAUCUAAGACAAUAAUUUUGGGACGGAGGGAGUACUAG